UGGGGAAUUUUGGACAAUGGGCGAAAGCCUGAUCCAGCAAUGCCGCGUGUGUGAAGAAGGCCUUCGGGUUGUAAAGCACUUUUGUCCGGAAAGAAAUGGCUCUGGUUAAUACCUGGGGUCGAUGACGGUACCGGAAGAAUAAGGACCGGCUAACUACGUGCCAGCAGCCGCGGUAAUACGUAGGGUCCAAGCGUUAAUCGGAAUUACUGGGCGUAAAGCGUGCGCAGGCGGUUGUGCAAGACCGAUGUGAAAUCCCCGAGCUUAACUUGGGAAUUGCAUUGGUGACUGCACGGCUAGAGUGUGUCAGAGGGGGGUAGAAUUCCACGUGUAGCAGUGAAAUGCGUAGAGAUGUGGAGGAAUACCGAUGGCGAAGGCAGCCCCCUGGGAUAACACUGACGCUCAUGCACGAAAGCGUGGGGAGCAAACAGGAUUAGAUACCCUGGUAGUCCACGCCCUAAAGCGAUGUCAACUAGUUGUUGGGGGAUUCAUUUCCUUAGUAACGUAGCUAACGCGUGAAG
rnacentral:rRNA from 1 species